UAAAAAAAUAAAAUAAAAUCAAAGAAAGAAAGCUCAACAAAAAAUGCUUGCAUGACAGUUACCAAAGCAAGCUUGAACCUGCCGUAAUUUCCUCUUUUAUACCGAUAAAACAAGAACAACAUUGACAAGUUCAACUCUUUUCUUAGCCAAAUGUCUUCUUUUCUCUUCUUCUUCUCCAGAAUCACAGAAGGAGUACUUUCAUCGAACACUUGAAGGGCAAGAAUACCGACCGGAACACCUACUUGCACCUCCAUCUCCAGUUACCGUUCCGCCCUCUAUAAUCCACCUGAGCAUUCUCAAGGACCCACAUCGGAGUCUGAGCUUGUCAAGCACCUUAACGGCAUUAUCAAGGUGGCCCAAUCUCAGUGGCAAAGUAUACGGGAGAAGUUUUGAUGAAUCCUAAAUUUGGGUUCUAUAUUAAUCGAGAUGCGUUUGGAGUAGAAAGAGAUUUCAUUACAUAUCCUCAAGUAAGCCAGAUCGUUGGUGAGGUAAAUGAGUUAUCGUUAAACUUUUGAGUACUUGUCUGAUUGUUAUACAUGGAACUUGGAAACCUUGUGCCAUUUUUAAGGUCAUCAAGGCGGCAAGGGAGCUAUUGCAUUGGAACAACAUUUGUACUUGUUAGAUAUUGGAUUCUGGUCACCUUAGUUGUCAUUUUUUGGUGGAUUGUUGCCUGACAAAAUAAUUUCACUUUGACCGUUUCAAUGUAAUGCCAGAUGGUUGGUGUGUGGGCAAUGUGCCUUUGUAGCAAAUGGGACAACCAUAAAAAGUUAACCUAGUUGAGCUGGGCCCAGGACGAGGAGCUCUGAUGGCUGAUCUUCUGCGUUUAUGUUACCACAAUUCUGAAUAAGAUAGUGCUUUGAACUUUAUUUAGUUGGUUUUCAUUGAAUAAGCGUGCCUUUUCCUUAUAGGGUGCAUCAAAGUUUAAGAGCUUCACAGAAUCGUUGCAUGUACACAUGGCAGAAUGUAGUUCCAUGUUACAGAAAACUCGGUAACACAACUUGUUUGGAUGAAGAUGAUACCAGUGAUGGUGUUGAGAAAAGGACUAUCAGCAUAUUGGCAGCAACACCUGUUUCGUGGCAUGCUUUGUUAGAGCAGGUUCCAUCAGGAUUUAUGGAGUUGUCUUUUAAAUUGCUUUUCCAUGAAACCAUAUGUAUCAGUGUCGGACCUGUAUUGUUCAAAUGGAAUGAGUUCUCAAUUUUAGUUCAGUUUCAUAUUU